CGGCGGACGGGUGAGUAACGCGUGGGUAACCUGCCUCAUACAGGGGGAUAACAGUUAGAAAUGACUGCUAAUACCGCAUAAGACCACAGGAUCGCAUGAUCCGGUGGUAAAAACUCCGGUGGUAUGAGAUGGACCCGCGUCUGAUUAGCUAGUUGGUGGGGUAACGGCUCACCAAGGCGACGAUCAGUAGCCGACCUGAGAGGGUGGCCGGCCACAUUGGGACUGAGACACGGCCCAA
rnacentral:rRNA from 1 species